AACGCACGAGACCUGCGGACCUGCGGAAGGAUCAUUAACGAAUUUCGAGGUUGUGCUGGUUCUCACAAGUGCACGCCUCUCAUAAUUCCAUUCACACCCACGUGCACUCUAAGAGACGCAUUUCCCCCGUUUACGUGCCGAAAGGCUUGGGACUUCGUCUGUUUAAUACACUCUUCUGUAUCAGAAUGUAUUCGGCGUUUCCGCCAAAACGAAAAUAUAACUUUCAACAACGGAUCUCUA
rnacentral:misc_RNA from 1 species